AUUGAACGCUGGCGGCAUGCCUAACACAUGCAAGUCGAACGGCAGCGCGGGCUUCGGCCUGGCGGCGAGUGGCGGACGGGUGAGUAAUACGUAGGAAUCUGCCCAGUAGCGGGGGAUAACUUAGGGAAACUUAAGCUAAUACCGCAUACGCCCCACGGGGGAAAGCAGGGGAUCGCAAGACCCUGCACUAUUGGAUGAGCCUACGUCGGAUUAGCUAGUUGGUGGAGUAAAGGCCUACCAAGGCGACGAUCCGUAGCUGGUCUGAGAGGACGAUCGGCCACCAUGGGACUGAGACACGGCCCAGACUCCUACGGGAGGCAGCAGUGGGGAAUAUUGGACAAUGGGGGCAACCCUGAUCCAGCAAUGCCGCGUGUGUGAAGAAGGACUGCGGGUUGUAAAGCACUUUCGAUGGGAAAGAAAAGCUCAGGGUUAAUACCCCUGAGUAUUGACGUUACCCAGAGAAGAAGCACCGGCUAACUCUGUGCCAGCCGCCGCGGUAAGAC
rnacentral:rRNA from 1 species